GACGAACCGUGCGAACGUUGUUCGGAAUCACUGGGCUUAAAGGGCGCGUAGGCGGGCCGCCGCGUCCGGGGUGAAAUCCUCCGCUCAACGGGAGAACGGCCUCGGAUACGGGCGGCCUGGAGGGGGGUAGGGGCAGGCGGAACUGUGGGUGGAGCGGUGAAAUGCGUUGAGAUCACAGGAACUCCGGUGGCGAAGGCGGCCUGCUGGACCCCAUCUGACGCUGAGGCGCGAAGCCAGGGAGCGAACGGG
rnacentral:rRNA from 1 species